ensembl:lncRNA
AUGGGGUCAUUUUUACAGAUGUACUGUCCCUUCUGUGGACACCUCUUGGCAGACAGUCCUGCCUUUUGUAGUCUAUGUGGUAAAAACAUCAAGUUUUUAAAGGACAUCACCAGCACUGUGUCGAGAAAUCCUGCCCUUGGUGAAGAGGCAGCAGCUCUUCCAUCUACCAGUUCCAGCAUCCUGACUGGCACAACUAUACAGUCUACACAGGCUGGGAAAUCAUUAGUGGAGUCAUUUAUAAAAUUUAGGGAUGUGAAAGAAAGGGAGAGAAAGGCCUUUUUUUCAAAGAAACACCAGGAACAGAAGGAACAUAAACCAGUGAAGGUAUGUCAUAAACUUGAACGUGGAAGUUGAUCACUUUUGUUGCUAAUACAAAAUCCAAAUUACCUGUAGCACUGCCAAGGCAUAUAGAUCAACUUACCUCAGAAUAUAUAAAGCAUAUAAACAAUUACAGCAAUAUGAUGCAACAAACACAGCAGUGCUACUAAUCCAAAAUACUCAAAGCUUCAUAGAACUGAAACAAACAUUUAUUGUUAGCUCCAUUCUGCUGCUGAUACAUACUUUAGGUUUCUGAAUAUUAAACUUGUUGCUGCCUUUCAUAGUGUGUAACUUGAAGGCCCUGAGUACUUUCUCCCACACUGAAAACACUGGGAUGAUCACAUUAUUUGAACAUUACCUAAUAAGACUGAUUCAGGACAGACAAUUAGUUAUGUUAAACUUUCCUAGCAGUCCUUCACAAACAGGGAACAGUCUGUCUAUUCUCUCCAUCUGUCAGCUGCUGCUGGCUCUUCCUCCUCCUCUUCCUCACACACUGCUGAGUUUGUCCUGGUGGAUCAUCAGGGGUGCAAAGCCUCACAGAUGAUGUGCAGCAGUGGGUCCCUCAGUCUGUCCUCACUCUGGACACUUGCAGUUGUCACACGUGGAAAUCAAAUGUGUGAUAAGCUGCAGGAUUCAAACACAAGUGUAACUUAUAAAUACAUGUUCAUACUUUUAUUCCACAAUCAGAGAGAAAGAAACAGAGAGAGAGUGCAGGACAGACAGACAGGUGACAGUCUCAGGUGUAGACACUGCUACAAAACAGCACAAGAGAAGGAGGAUUUAGUGUUUGUGUUAUUACGAGUGCUAAACAAGAAGAGUUCCCAGAUGGUCCAGUGGACACAUGUGUGACUCCUGUGAUUAAAGCAUCUUUCUUUCAGCUUAACGAGUGAACCGUCAGCUCGUUCAAACACACGUUAAAGUCCGUUUGGCUCGACACCACCGAACAGAGGCAGCAAUAUAACAUAGCUAACAUUAACAGUGCAGUGAAUCCUGCUUGUGCCGUCAUAUUCAGGACUGCAAACCGAGCAGCAUCACUGACUUUCAGCUUGUUGUGUUUGUGGAUAUAUGACUGACUUUAAUUAUCCAUAAAAUCAUCACAUUCUCUGUAAGAUUAAGGUCGACUAUAUAUAUAUUUAGAAGUAGAGGCUUUAAAACCAAGUUACCGCUGAAAGUACAAACAUCACUAAUGUCACAUAACUUUGCCGACAUGUGGCCAACAGUAAUGUUUUAAUGUUCUUCAUUAUUAAACUGUUAGAUUUGUAUUGUUUAUUGCCAUUUAUGCUUAGAAAUAUUUACUCAUAUAUGCUUAGAAGUAUAUAAUCAUUUGUAGAUUGAAAGAAUGUCUCAUCCUAGGAGAUCUAUAACAACUCUGUGUAGCAUGAAGAGGGGAGUGCGUUCACUCCUCCUCAGAGUGUUCUGGUAUAGAUCACACAUCUCCUAGGAGAGGUCGUAUCUUCUCCUGCUGAUAUAUGGUAUAGCAAACACACGUAUAUCUGUUUGAGUGUAAGAGCCUUUUGUUUAGAUGGACCGCUAGACUCCUGGCACCAGCUUUGGGGAGUCACAUUCCACACACACACACACACACACACACACGGUAUUCUUUGUUCACAUGUAUACCUAUGUAAGAUGUUAUAUGUUAAUGAACCUAUGCAUAUUCAUGUAACCACAAUAAAAGAGCAACUGGGGUCAAGCGAAGGAACGGUGCCUGUCCAGUUCUCUCCCGUGCACGUGAAACAUAAAGAACUUGCCUACUCGUGUCUUGCUUGCUGUGUAAUUACAUUGUCUUCAACGUUCCAGCGAAUAGGUUCAAGCUACAAACCUAUCAUAAACAUUCCCACAUAAAUAAGUGACAUAAUAUUCAGUACUUACUUUUGACAGCUCACUCUUCGGCCGCUCCCUUCUGCCGUAUUUUGCGGCAAAAUUAUCCACACCCACCGCCGCGCUAUGAAUUGUGGGAUAUAUGGGACCACGAAGCGUGCACCGGACCACGCUUGAUAUUUGGGGAAAUCGACGGUGCAUUUGAAGUACACUUCAAAUUGGGACAGCUGACCUACCUAUGUAGGUAGUGAGCGGCUGUGGACAGCCCCCUUUUUUUUUCUCCAUACAAACUUUAUUGACCAAACAAUGAGUAUACAACAUAUAAACGGCUGUGGACAGCCUGCCUUCGUUCAAGUUUGCCCUUAAUUCGAGGUUUUCUGAUCGCUAACGCCA